GUGGGGACACACAGGAAGUUGUCAUCCUCUGUUUGUGCUCGGUCCAGUCUCAUUUCUGGCAAUAACACGCGCGUUGUUUUUAUCGCAAUUGAAUUUAAUGCCCAAGGAGCGAAGAAGUUUCCAAAAUAUUUUGAGCUUUUUUGAGCGACAGUCCGUCAAAUAACGAGUUAUUGAGGCAACAUGAAGAGUAGGAAAGGAUACUACGCUAACAGGGAUGCUUCGAAAGUGUAUCAAAGUGUAUCUAUUUUAUUGUUUUCCUCGAUGGAGAGCGCAUUCCAUUUCUGCGUCUGCCCAUGAAUGGCCAUGAUAUACCUGCAUCCUCAAGCUUCUACCAAAGGUUGUCAAGAAAAGAAUCCUAGAAGGAUUGGAGAUUGCUCCAAACAUAGCUGCAAUGUUGAUCCUUCAGAGAAAUCGCUUGUUGAAGCCCAUCAAUCGAGGUUUUAAUGACUAUAAAAUUUUCUUUAUUACACUAGCUAUUUCACUAGGGUCAUUCCAUUUAUUAUCCGCACCCCCCCUAUGGAUGAGCGGAUUCCUACCGGUCAGAUAUUAGGACUUAGGGGAUUCCUACUGGUCAGAUAUUGGGAAUUAGCAGAUUCCUUCGGCCCGAUUCCUACCGGUCAGAUAUUGCCGUCGAGGUGUAGCAUACUAUAUUGCCAAAUAUUUAUUAUGAGAAUCAUAAUCAUUCCAUUUAUUAUCCUCACCCCCCCCCCGGUCUGACAUUGGGAAUUAGCAGAUUCCUACCGGUGAGAUAUUGGCAAUUAGCAGAUUCCUACCAGUGAGAUAUUGGCAAUUAGCAGCAUUCCUAGGGUUUAGAUUGAUACUGUCGAUUCCAACAGGGUACUUCUCUGAAAUCAGAUUCCUACAGGUAACAUUUUUACCAGAGCUCAUCCAUAGGGGGGGUGCGGAUAAUAAAUGGAAUGACCCCUAUCGUUAAUAUAUACGAACUGUUUAUCUAUUCUGUUUACAAACUGAAACCCAUAAUAUAAUUAUAAAGGCCUAAAGAUAUGAUACUCGAGACUAGUGAGUUGUCGAUGAAAAAAUAAUGAACAAUUUGGAGUGAACAUGUUUGGGACUUUUGAAUGGCUGUUUAUAUAGACGUGUUAUUGUCACUUGUCAGAGUGAUAAUCUACUUGGCUGUGGCAGUGCUUUACUGUCUUUGACUGUCUGCUCAUGGACAACUUGUGCUCACUUAAAACUUAAUAGAAACACAUCAAAAAGUUUCUCUGAUCAAAGUUAAAGUAGAUUUUAAUUUGAUCAAAACACAUAACAGUUUAAAUGCCUUUUAUAUGGAGGCAAGCCAGCUCGGGUGCCUGAGGUAGCUUGCUUGGCCGAGAUCUAAUGUUGCUAGAUAAUUUAUACUAAUAUUCGUAUUGUGUGUAUAUGAGAACCAGGCUUGCUUGCCUAAGCAAGAUCUUGUUUAAUUUGUGAAGCCCGACAGAGCCCCAGAUCUCGCCUAGGUUGGUUGGUUUGCCUAAGCCGCUCAAUACGAAUAUAUUGUACUAAUUGUAGUAAAUAAGACUUUCUCAACAGAUGUUUGAUCUAUAAUUUUAUAAAUUAAUGCCUCUGUGAACAGUUGUGACGGUCAUAACCAUGACAGUUUCUCGCGAUGAUUUGUUUUGGUGCCAGCCUGCUACAUGAUGAAAUUAGCUAGGCAAAGCCACCUAGCUCAGGUAACUGGGCUGGCUUGCUUCCAUGUAAACACCCCUAAGACAUUUAGUUUAUAAAAGAUUUUGAUCACAAAUACUUAUGAUGUAAACAAAAUCAACUAAUAAUUACUAGUAAGUAUAUUUUCCACCCUAAUUGUAAGUAAAAGCUUGCAUAUAAGAACCUGCAUAAGGGCCUGUCAGGCUAAUUUUUCAGUAUUUAGACACCCAAUCUGUUUAGGCUAGUAUUUCAGGUUCAUAUUUUAUCACAUGGAGACCAGUCAGAUCUAAAAAUGUAUAAAAAUCAAAGAGAAUAAACUCUUCACAAAGUAAUGAAAAUGAUCCAGAACCCUGAAAAUGUCAUUGAGAUAAAUAAAGUGUAGCUUUGCAGUGCAUACAGCUUUGUAUAAGUGCAUAUAUACUGGCAUUUUUAGAUGAUCAUGACUGAUAUAGUUACUAUACAUGUCUUGUCCAAAAGUGGGGUCUGGGGGUUUGAAAUCAGAGCUUUCUUUCUCCUAGAUGGAUUGCCAGCCAAGGCUUAUGAGCUCCAUCUACACAAAGGAAUCUGAUUUUAAGGUGCCAGACACUUGCCAGUUCAUAUUGUACUAUAAUUGCCUGAUUUUGUGUCACAAAGAGUGGCACCAUCCCAUUAUCUAUGUUGGCAGAACAGGCUGCCGUGCAUGGUCUGUUUUGGGACAAAAUUAGACAACACAGUAAAACCCUGCGAAUAAGAACCUAGAUUUUUUCCAAGUUAGCUUAAACAGGUUCUUAUGUACAGGGUCUGAAAUAUAUUUUAGUAUCCCGAUAUCCAUAGGAUACCAAAAAUUUGGUUUUGGAUACCAAAUUAUGAAUAAUACUAUCCUGACUGGAUACUAAAAAAUUUCCUUUGAUGGGCUCCUGAAAGUUUUUGAAUAUUAUCAGUUUACCACCAGUCUUUCCUCAAUGAGGACUAGCAUAUAGAAGUUUGUUGAAGGUGUGGAUUCAUUGUUUAUUUGUUGUUGACUGUAGAGUCUCCUCAGUUGUUAUUGUAAUUUGUAACAGUGAGUGUUAUGGAAACUUAUUUGGAUGGGAUAGGAUAUACUAAACUUUGAAUCCUGGUAUCCCCUUUGGAUACUGAGAAAAAAUAUAAAUUUCAGACCCUGAUGUAAAUGGUGCUUAUCUGAUUGUUCAUGUUACAAACUGUAAUUAUAUUUAGUAGCUAUAUUCAGUAUUCUGCGGGGGCAUAUAAAGGCUAUAAAUAAAGCCCUGGAGUCAUGUUUGUGCUUUACCCCUUGGAGUUCUCCUUUAAUGUCUGUAUAUAUAUAUUACCAUAUAACCCAAUAAAUCUGUUAAAAAAAGAAAGAUUCGUUGAUGUAAAUCAAAAUUUCAUCAGUGUUUCCUGGGCAUUCUGAUGAGCUCUGAUAUAGAGCGAAACAAGCAUAUAUUUAGCAAUUGUCCUCCGUCUUGAAGAGACAUGAUGAAGUAACCUGAUCACCAGAAUUGUUGAAGCUAUUAAUAUUAGAUCAUUCAGUGUCACAAGAAUAUCAUCAUUUAGUGUCAAUAUGAGAGUAAUAUCAAUGAAUCCAUACUUCCAGUUCAUAAUUUCAAAACAUACAUUUUUAUAACACAAAAAAGUUGAAUAUAAUCUUAGCGUCUCGUACUCUUGUCACUGUCAAUCUAUUGAACUCUUCUGUUGUUUAUAUUAAAACAGCAUCCAAAAUUAUCUCCAUAGCGCGCACCAGCUUGAACAAAAGCUGUUUAUCCAGCUUUUGUACGGUCAAAAAUUUCGCUCUUGGCUUUGCCACGAAGACAGGAACUGCAGCCACAUUCUCAAUCACACUUGUUUCGAAUUUCGUCAAGCG